ensembl:lncRNA
GGGCAGGGCUGCAGGUACAGGUAAAAGCUUUGUGCAGGUACCAGAACCGAAUACGUGAAUUCAGAUGGAAAAGAGAGCAGGAGGUAAUCUGUAUGUUGGAGUCAGUCGCAGAAAAUGGCAGGAAUUGGUUCUUCUGUGGCGACACAGUGACCUGGAAAAGUGCAUGAUUGUUCACGUAGAUGCGGUGCAUCAGAUAGGACAUGCCGUUCACCUGCGCCUGCUUCUGUGGCCUUAAUGGCUUCUGCUGCAGACGAAGGAAGAAGAAAAGUGAUCAAGUGGAGGACGAGGAGUGUGAAGAGGUAGAGCAAUGGAGGGAUCAGGAGACACAGGUGUGACAGCAUUGCUGUCAGCCCAGCUGUCUUCACCUUUUCUGUGGGAUUUAUCCCUUAUGGACUGAAAUGUGUGGCCUGGGUUAUCACAGCUCAGUACAGACUCCACUGUCUGAUAUGCUGCCUGGAGACAUUAUAACAGAGAUGGUAAAGGGGGUUCAACGAGCACAGGCUUUUAUUUAAAGUUAAAAAAAAAGAAAAGAAAAGGUGCUUUUGAAUCAGGUACUGUAUUUUUCCCAGAGUAUCGGUGACUAACACUCUUCUUCUUUUGUACUUUUUAACCUGGCUAAACUCAACAAGCACAAGGCUGUCUUGAGCCACGCUCUUAAAGUUGAAAAUAAAAGCCUGCGAACUCCUGGCUCAUGCCCAUUACACAUCCCUGCAGCACUCUCAUUUCUCCCUUGGCAGCUGACUGAGAACUUUGCUUUUGCUGAUGUGAUUCCAAAAAAAGAGGAAAAAAAAAUCGUAUCUGUUUGAUUAAUUUCUUGCCAUAGCUGGCGUUCCGUACAAGGUGUGAAGAGGCGAUGGACUCUAGAAAUCCAUUAUUUCUCUGAGUCGCACUCCUCGCCGCUCCUCCGCGGGGGCUGAAUUAGAACCAUUGCUCGACGGAGCUCUGCACCUCCUCACCUCCUCACCUACCUGCUUAUGUCAGAUCAACUUAGUGAAAACUUCAGCCGAGUGAGAAAGUGUGCAGUAAUUUGUAGAGUCACCCAUGGAGGGCUGGAGCCCAUCUCGGCUUUUCACGCUGCGCUGGGCUCCAUCUAAAGCCGAGCAGCUGUCCAAUCAGCAGCUUAGCUGGAGUGUGAAGAUAG